rnacentral:lncRNA from 1 species
UACACAAACAUAAAUAACAGUGAAUAACACAAACAAAGCUGUCAACAUUACAUUUCCAAUAAACAUAUUAAAAAUAGGUGUGCUACUAGAUUAAUAUAGUCCUCCUAUUUUAAGCACCAAUGUGAGCAUUUACCCUUUUAAAAUUAAAUUUGGCCUAGAGUGUGCACAUUUACUGUCGCUGCCAUAUUUACACCAUCACAAGAAUGAUUCAGAGGUGGAUGUACAGCGUAGACUAGUAGCAGCAACUACCUGCAAUAAAAGUUCCUACAUAGUUAAAUCAUCCCAAAUUCACCGCUCAAGUGUACAACUCAAGUGUAAAACUUCACUGCAGCCAAUAGCAAGAGGCUAUACUCUUCAUUUUGAUUAUAAGGCAAGUGAUUCUUAAAUAUGUCAUGACUAAAAAAAUAACAGGAAAACAAAAGAGGACAAAUUUCAAGAACUUGUAUACCUCUUCACCAAUAGUCUCUUGUUAAAAAACAUAGAGCAGCACCAUAAUCUUGAGCACUAG